UACGUAGGGGGCAAGCGUUGUCCGGAAUCAUUGGGCGUAAAGCGCGUGUAGGUGGCAAGGCAAGUCGGGUGUGAAAGCCCUGGGCUCAACCCAGGAAGUGCACUCGAUACUGCCUCGCUAGAGUCCCGGAGAGGUUGGUGGAACUCUCGGUGUAGAGGUGAAAUUCGUAGAUAUCGAGAAGAACACCGGUGGCGAAGGCGGCCAACUGGACGGUGACUGACACUGAGACGCGAAAGCGUGGGGAGCAAACAGGG
rnacentral:rRNA from 1 species